rnacentral:rRNA from 1 species
ACACCGGCAGCUCAAGUGGUAGCCGCUUUUAUUGGGCCUAAAGCGUCCGUAGCCGGUCUGAUAAGUCUCUGGUGAAAUCCCACAGCUUAACUGUGGGAAUUGCUGGAGAUACUAUCAUGACUCGAGGUCGGGAGAGGCUGGAGGUACUCCCAGGGUAGGGGUGAAAUCCUGUAAUCCUGGGAGGACCACCUGUGGCGAAGGGGUCCAGAUGGAACGAACCGGGCGGGGAGGGACGAAGGCCAGGGGCGCGGACCGGAUUAGAUUCGCGGGUAGUCCUGGCCGUAAACGAUGUGGACUUGGUGUUGGGAUGGCCUCGAGCUGCCCCAGUGCCGAAGGGAAGAUGUUAAGGCCACCGCCUGGGAAGUACGGUCGCAAGACUGAAACUUAAAGGAAUUGACGGGG